CAAAGAGGGACGAUUUUAUUUAUUUUUAUUCUCGCGCGCCCUCUCUCCCGCGCCCCCCCUAAAUCUCCACCCCCGCUCAUUAUCAGCCCCUGAAAUCUUCUUCAUUAGUAGCUGCCCCGACCAGCAGACCCUCUCCGCAACACCCUGCAAACCCCGUCUUCCCCACAACAUCAACCCCUAAACCUCUUGCAAACCCGUCUUCUCCAACUGUAGCUCCAAAAUCCCAAACCCAUCUUCGUCUGUGAGCUUAACAACCUCUCCACCAUUUCUGACAACCACAUUCCCCAACCGCCAUUGGUGACGAAACCCAUCUCUAGCCACUGCCCCAAGUUCCAGAUCCACAGGCCGGACGAACGAUUUCGGCUGCAGGAGCAUCAAAUCCGACCACAGUUAUCGCUGCCCCCUCAACCCCAAUGCCUAGAAGCCAUCCACCACCACCAUCUAUGACCAAUUGGCAAUGCUUUUAAAUGAUGCUUGUAACCUAUUCAAAGAAAUAAAGCUUCUGAAGAUGUGGUUUGUGGAAAUGAUAUGACAUGGUAGCAACAAAGCCCAAUGGAGAAGGAAUCUUCAAACUUACAGUGGGAGAGAUGUGCAACAGGUAAUAGAUUUAUUUUAAUUUGAAAUCUUGUUUCAAUUUUGAUUUAUAUGUGGAUUACAUUGGGUUUUUAGAUUUUCAGUAAUUGGGAUUUUGUAUACAAAGUUGGUCACAUGCGGUUGAGGCCACAUGCAUGCACAUGUUGAAGGCGAUACUUUUGUCAUUCUGUAUUAUAUGUAUGCAACUGAUGCUUGAUGUGGAAAUCUGGCCCCUUUCAAGUGUAUAACUGAAUGCAAUUUGGGGUCCAUGUUAAUGUUCGGGUGGCACUUUUAUGAUGACUUUUACCGGCAGUCACAAAACCGCUGGGGUAUGGAGCAAGAGGAGAGGCUUCAAUCCCUGUACCAGCGAAGAGUUGAAGCAUCAUCAAAUGCAUCAGGUCCUUCAUUCUGAAAUGUAACGUGGCAGCCAACAGCUCCUAAUGAGGGGAAGUUAAGGGUGUUCCUGGUGCUUACAGUGAAUCAGCAGCUGCCAAGGCCUACCCAAAUUGUGAAGCAGUUCCCUGCAAACAAUUUGAAACUGCCUCCAAUGUGACUUUCUUUCUUCCACGUAAAUUUACAUAUUGUUCUUAUUCCUUUUCUUUCCUAUGUUUCAUUGUGCAUUCACACACCAAAUGUGUAUUGAAUGAGCUUGGAAUUUUAUGGUUGAUUGAAUGAAAAUGUUGGAAAUAUAACAAAUGCAACGUCUUUUGAUUGGUUUUUGUUUCCAUCCACAAUUUUUUCUAAAGAUACAAGCUACACAGAGGAAGUGAAGAGGUUAUCUAUUUCCUGUUGCAUUCAUAUUGGCUAGAUCAUCUUAUAUUGACCUUCUCCCAUGUUUAGCAAGGGCCCAUUCAGCGUUGCUUUUAGAAAGUGUGGAAUCGUUUCUCAAUAAACAACUGUAUGCAAGUUAUUUGCCAUUGAAAAUUGGAAUGUAGUGAGGAACAUGUCAAUGCAGUUUCGGGUACUAGGCAUAAUUUGAUUCAAACCAUAAUUUUCCACAUGUAUUGCAAUUAUCAAUAUAAGUCUCAUGGUAUAAUUUGUCAAUCUAUGUCAAUUUUAGUAGAUCCUAUAUAUUUUCUUGUUGCAGUUUCAAUUUUUCCUUCAGCAAUAAUGUUCAAUUGCUUGUUGGUAUUUGUUCAUGUUACUUGCAGCGUAUAAAACAUUUCAAACUUCCUGUAAGGUGUUACAAGUACAGAGUUCCCAUUUUUGUGAUUCCACCUCACUUAAUCUAUGGGAGGACAAGGUUAUUGGUUGUGUUGGGUCCCUACUCAUGGCUCAGUGGUAGACUCACAAGAGUUUCAACAAAGAGGUCAUGAGUUUUAGUACCCAUUGUGGUGCAUGUUGGCGUGAGUGGGUGUGGGUGUGAAUGUGUCUAGGACAGAUGGUACGUGGGGUUUGAUUCAGUACCUGCAGCAGUUGACUGUUCUCCAAACAUUAAUGAUGAUUACUAUACAUAAUGUUCUCCCAACAUUAAUAUGAAUUACUAUACACAGUCAUGUUUUGUGUUGCCAAUCCUUUCCCAUGAUGGCCAACAAUCUGAGUUUCUUAUCCUUUUAUUGGUUGAACAUAUCACUCUCCAGCCUUUGUUCAAGCAUCAGAAUUUUUUAUCUUUUUAUUCCUUGAGGCCUUCAUAUUUCUUACCUUUUUUGAGGUCUUCGCAUCUUUUGCCAAUAUCUGGACAAGUCAUCGGCCAGCAAACAUUGUUGGGAAUUGUGAUAACAACCAGUAUUCAUGGUCCUUGAUUCUUUGCUACAGCUAUAUCGCUUGGAAUGUCAAUUACCAUCUAUUUGGAAUUGAACACUUGUUUUCAUUUAUCAUGGACAUGGCUAGUAUUCUUCACUUAGUGUUUCUUUUGAGGCUUUUCUGAGCAGUUUUGUUUGAAGAGGGAGGCUAGGCUAUCUGGUUUGCUUAAUGAGUGCUUCAUGAGUUGAUGCUUAUCUGCUCUUUUCUUUUUUUUAUUUCAACUCUGUUAAAAUAACCAGCAUAUACUGACAGGAAGAAUUCUUUUCCAGCAUUGGCCGUGUUAAUCCUGAGCUAUAUGCUUUAAGUGCUGAUAUGCGGAAUGGGCUAAGUGAUAAUUCUACCAGCUUCAAAUAUGAUUCAAAUUUGGAAGUAUGGAUGCAAAACUAUGCUAAUGUCCUUUGCAUCAAUUGCUGGCAGCAACUAUUGAUUUCUUCCCGAAAUCUGGAGUUUUUCACCAAUGGUUAUCGCUACCUCAUUCAGAUUCUUCCUGCUGCCGUUGUUGAUCUGAUGUAUUUGUCAGCCAAAAUUGAGUUUGGAGUUUUUCACCAAUGGUUAUCGCUACCUUAUUCAGAUUCUUCCUCUGCUAAGUAAUCAACUGUAGAUCUUCUAUGACUACAAGUUCAUGAGCAUGUGCCAGCAUAGAGAGAUGAUCUUCAUAUGACUCCUUAUCAAGCUUAGAAACUUCCCAGAAUUAAUCUGUGAUUUCUGUCUACUUGUUUACUGAAUAUUAUGGUAUAUUGCCUAGUUUAUGAAAAACUUCCAUUUUCAGGUCUUAGAAUCAGCUUUCAUAGUAAUUGGACAAUCCCAAUCCUCGAUGCUUUUGCUUCCUGUCUAUUUAUUGUUGACCAUUGACCAUUAAUCUUCUCAUUCAAAUUUUGGGUUAACAAUCUAGUUGCAAUUGGGAUGAAUGGGAUUGGUUUUUGGACUAAAGUACAUCUACAGAUGGCCCAUGAAAUCAGCGGUCUGGAUCACUAUACACAAUUGCUAAUCCUAUGAUGGAGAUGUUUUGUUGGCACUUUAUGGAACUCAUACUAGCACUCUUUGGGCUACCAAAUUACUUGUGUAAGACGAGAUUAGUGGCUUUUAAUUUUUCCUAAUCUCUCGCUAAUUUCAGGCACCGGUCGGACGGAUUUAUUUCACUGGGGAACACACCAGUGAGCAUUAUAAUGGCUACGUUUAUGGGGCCAACCUGGCAGGUAAUGAUUCUGCUAAUAUGAUGAUUGGCUGCAUCAAGAAAAAGAUAUGCAAAUUCCAGAUCAUGCCUAAGGGCACUUGAAUCCCACGAUUCCCCUAACACCUCAACUUCCAGGAACUAUUCAGGACCACCUACAAAUAUUCAACAUUGAGAUGAAGGCAAAAAUGAAAUCACAUCAGAUGCCCGAGCUGGUGAUAAUGUCAUCCACUUUAAACUUUAUUAGCUCACUUUUCUAUUUAUUUCAUAGGCUGUUUCAUUUCACAAUUAGUUUCCAUGCCAUAUUGUUAUAUUCACAGGUGUUUUGGAAGUGGAUUACCCCAAAGAUAUUGGGGCUGGUCACACAAACAUCAGUGUAUCAUUUGUCAAUAGAAGGUAAUAUUGCAUUUUUCUUUUGUACAAG